AAUAUUUAGUGUUGCUUCCUGUUAUUUAUGUUGUAUAUAUUUGUUUGACUGUACAGGUUUAUGUGAGUGUCUGGUCCUAGCCUUGUCACUACUUCGCUGGGAUAGGCCCGGCACUUACCAGCACAUGGGGUCGGUUGUGCUGAUUCUACAGUCUGUGCUCUUUUUGCACAGAUUCAGGUUUUGGACAGCAGCAACAACAGUAGUGGGAGUGUUAUCUUUUGAUCAUCGAGACACCGAGGUACCCUUGC
rnacentral:lncRNA from 1 species